rnacentral:rRNA from 1 species
GAUGAACGCUGGCGGCGUGCCUAAUACACGCAAGUCGAGCGAACGGACGAGAAGCUUGCUUUUCUGAUGUUAGCGGCGGACGGGUGAGUAACACGUGGAUAACCUACCUAUAAGACUGGGAUAACUUCGGGAAACCGGAGCUAAUACCGGAUAAUAUUUUGAACCGCAUGGUUCAAAAGUGAAAGACGGUCUUGCUGUCACUUAUAGAUGGAUCCGCGCUGCAUUAGCUAGUUGGUAAGGUAACGGCUUACCAAGGCAACGAUGCAUAGCCGACCUGAGAGGGUGAUCGGCCACACUGGAACUGAGACACGGUCCAGACUCCUACGGGAGGCAGCAGUAGGGAAUCUUCCGCAAAGGGCGAAAGCCUGACGGAGCAACGCCGCGUGAGUGAUGAAGGUCUUCGGAUCGUAAAACUCUGUUAUUAGGGAAGAACAUAUGUGUAAGUAACUGUGCACAUCUUGACGGUACCUAAUCAGAAAGCCACGGCUAACUACGUG